rnacentral:rRNA from 1 species
GAUGAACGCUGGCGGCGUGCCUAAUACGUGCAAGUCGAGCGAACGGACGAGAAGCUUGCUUCUCUGAUGUUAGCGGCGGACGGGUGAGUAACACGUGGAUAACCUACCUAUAAGACUGGGAUAACUUCGGGAAACCGGAGCUAAUACCGGAUAAUAUUUUGAACCGCAUGGUUCAAAAGUAAAAGAGGGUCUUGCUGUCACUUAUAGAUGGAUCCGCGCUGCAUUAGCUAGUUGGUAAGGUAACGGCUUACCAAGGCAACGAUGCAUAGCCGACCUGAGAGGGUGAUCGGCCACACUGGAACUGAGACACGGUCCAGACUCCUACGGGAGGCAGCAGUAGGGAAUCUUCCGCAAUGGGCGAAAGCCUGACGGAGCAACGCCGCGUGAGUGAUGAAGGUCUUCGGAUCGUAAAACUCUGUUAUUAGGGAAGAACAUAUGUGUAAGUAACUGUGCACAUCUUGACGGUACCUAAUCAGAAAGCCACGGCUAACUACGUG